rnacentral:rRNA from 1 species
GUGGGGAAUUUUGGACAAUGGGCGCAAGCCUGAUCCAGCAAUGCCGCGUGCAGGAAGAAGGCCUUCGGGUUGUAAACUGCUUUUGUACGGAACGAAACGGUUCUCUCUAAUACAGGGGGCUAAUGACGGUACCGUAAGAAUAAGCACCGGCUAACUACGUGCCAGCAGCCGCGGUAAUACGUAGGGUGCAAGCGUUAAUCGGAAUUACUUGGCGUAAAGCGUGCGCAGGCGGUUUUGUAAGACAGAGGUGAAAUCCCCGGGCUCAACCUGGGAACUGCGUUUGUGACUGCAAGGCUGGAGUGCGGCAGAGGGGGAUGGAAUUCCGCGUGUAGCAGUGAAAUGCGUAGAUAUGCGGAGGAACACCGAUGGCGAAGGCAAUCCCCUGGGCCUGCACUGACGCUCAUGCACGAAAGCGUGGGGAGCAAACAGGAUUAGAUACCCCUGUAGUCC